rnacentral:lncRNA from 1 species
GACCUUAAAAGGAUGAGUUCUUCUACUGAUGAGUCUGACUGACCCACCAGGAAGAUAUAAAAGGUUUCCUCAGCCUCAGUUUUCCUAGAUCAUGUGAAGCUCUUGGGCUGCUGGUUUGACUAUGGAGUCAGUUCCUCAUUCUCAGGAAGGAUUCUUCACAUUAAGAAGCACCAUGGACAAGAGUGUGCAGAACACAUGCCUCAGAGGGACUAGGGGAAUGAUUCAAUAUAACGAACAAACAUCCAGUCUACUUAAAGAAGAGAAAAAAGAAAAGGCAUUGCAGUCUAUCAGCCACUUCUCAAACUUUGACAUUCUAGAUUCUCUCCUGGCCAAAUUAAAUGAAGAAAAGAAUAAUCUGAGUCACAACCAGGGAAUUGAAUGCUUGGUUCCCUCAGAGAAUAAUCUGUUCUACCCAGAAACUUUGGGUUCUAUUAAUCUGACUAAGAAUCAAAGAAAGAAGUCAGAAGGAGAAGAGGAAAAGAGGCAUAACGAAGCAACAAAAAAGAACUUCCCAAAAGAACAUGACUUCCAAGGUUUGGAUGUCCAAGUGUCCUCCCAGAAAGAAUGCAAAGGACAAAAUGUUAUGACAUUUCCUAAUAGAUCUCACACUUGCUAUUUCUCAACAUAAUUAGUCACUUGUGAUUCCCAAGUCCAAGAUGCCUCAGAAAAGGGCAUGAAGAGGAAGCGCCAUGACAGUGAUACUCCUAGGAAGAUUCAGGUUAGGAUGCAGAAUUUCUGUCAACCCAAGAACCCAGGACAUGAAGAAAUACAGAUUACUAAUCAUCUCCUGGAUCCAGUGGCAACCCAAUGCCCAGAGGGAAGAAAAGAACAGUAUCAGAAUCAGGCGACAGGUGAGUCUUGGUCCAAAUCUUGUUUUGAUGGAAGUGGUUACUGAUUAUUCAUCAUUUUU